rnacentral:rRNA from 1 species
AGGGCACACGGUGGAUGCCUAGGCAUGCAGAGGCGAAGAAGGACGUGUAAAGCUGCGAUAAGCUGCGGGGAGUUGCAAAAGAACUGUGAUCCGCGGAUUUCCGAAUGGGGCAACCCACUCUAAUUUAUUAGGGUAUCCUUUCGAGGAGGCAUACCCGGGGAACUGAAACAUCUAAGUACCCGGAGGAAGAGAAAACAACAGUGAUUCCGCAAGUAGUGGCGAGCGAACGCGGAGCAGCCCAAACCGCAUCCUACGGGGUGCGGGGUAGUAGGACCUGCGUAAUUUUUGUAAUCUUAAAUCGAAGCUGUCUGGAAAGCAGCGCCACAGAAGGUGAAAGCCCUGUAGGUGUACCGAUUACAAAAAGGCGGGUAUCCUGAGUAGCGCGAGACCGGUGAAAUCUUGCGUGAACCAGCCGGCACCAUCCGGUAAGGCUAAAUACAUCUGCAUGACCGAUAGUGAACCAGUACCGUGAGGGAAAGGUGAAAAGAACGCCGAGAAGGCGAGUGAAAUAGUACCUGAAACCGUGUGCUUACAAGCGGUCGGAGCUGCAUUUAUGUAGUGACGGCGUGCCUUUUGUAUAAUGAGCCUACGAGUUGCUCCUGUUGUGCGAGGUUAAGCCCCUAAGGGGUGGAGCCGUAGCGAAAGCGAGUCUGAAUAGGGCGUGCAGUACAGCGGGGCAGACGCGAAACCAAGUGAUCUAUCCAUGGUCAGGGUGAAGCGGUGGUAAGACACCGUGGAGGCCCGAACCGGUUGACGUUGAAAAGUCUUCGGAUGAACUGUGGAUAGGGGUGAAAGGCCAAUCAAACUUGGAGAUAGCUCGUACUCCCCGAAAUAUAUUUAGGUAUAGCGUCUGGUUUUGUCUCACUGGAGGUAGAGCACUGAUUAGGCUAGGGCCCUUCACCGGGUACCAACCCUAGACAAACUCCGAAUACCAGUGAUGAGCCGCCAGGCAGUCAGUCGCAGGGUGAUAACGUCCUGUGGCGAGAGGGGAACAACCCAGACCACCAGCUAAGGUCCCUAAAUACCGACUAAGUUGAUCAAAGAAAGUUGAGUUGCUCAGACAACUAGGAGGUUGGCUUAGAAGCAGCCAUUCCUUUAAAGAGUGCGUAAUAGCUCACUAGUCAAGCGACUCGGCGUCGAUAAUAAUCGGGCAUAAGUCGGUUACCGAAGCUGUGGGAUUUAACGAUCGGUAGGGGAGCAUUCCAGUCAGCGCAGAAGCAGCGCCCGCGAGGGGCCGUGGAGCGGCUGGAAGCGAAAAUGUAGGCAUGAGUAACGAUAAGAAGGGUGAAAAACCUUUCCACCGUAAACCCAAGGGUUCCUGAUCAACGCUAAUCGGAUCAGGGUUAGUCGAGACCUAAGGUGUACCCGGUGAGGCCGGGGAAGCCGAUGGCAAAGCGGUUAAAUAUUCCGCUACCGAAGCCAACGUAUGGCUAAGGCGUGACGCAGAAGUGACACUCCCGCGUGCUGACGAAUGCACGUUAAAGGGCGUAGGCCGGGGGGCAGGCAAAUCCGCCUCCCGUUAAGGCUGAACCCCGACAGUACUCGGAUUCUCACGAUGAAGAGAUAGUGGAGGUAAUCAUGCUGCCAAGAAAAGCGUCGUAGUUUGUUGUCUUCGCUCGUACCCCAAACCGACACAGGUGGGUGAGGAGAGUAUCCUCAGGUGCUCGAGUAAUUCAUGGCUAAGGAACUAGGCAAAUUCGAUCCGUAACUUCGGGAGAAGGAUCCCCUGACUAUGUCAGGGCGCAGUGAAAAGGCCCAAGCGACUGUUUACCAAAAACACAUGUCUCUGCUAAGCCGUAAGGCGAUGUAUAGGGACUGACACCUGCCCGGUGCUGGAAGGUUAAAGAAGGGGGUUAGCUUCGGCGAAGCCCUUGACUGAAGCCCCGGUAAACGGCGGCCGUAACUAUAACGGUCCUAAGGUAGCGAAAUUCCUUGUCGGGUAAGUUCCGACCUGCACGAAUGGUGUAACGACUUGGGCACUGUCUCGGCCAUGAGCUCGGUGAAAUUGUGGUAUCGGUGAUGACGCCGAUUACCCGCAGCGGGACGAAAAGACCCCGUGAACCUUUACUACAACUUUACAUUGGCUUUAGCUGUCGCAUGUGUAGGAUAGGCGGGAGACUUUGAAGCGGCGUCGCCAGGCGUUGUGGAGUCACCCUUGAAAUACCGCCCUUGCCACAGGUGAAGUCUAACCCUUAAGGGGGAACAGUGUAUGGUGGGUAGUUUGACUGGGGCGGUCGCCUCCUAAAGAGUAACGGAGG